CCGGGGUAACUCAGGUGGUUAGAGUAACAAACCAAGUGCAGGUUCGAAUCCUGCUUUCCGACCCA
rnacentral:tRNA from 1 species